AAAUAAAUAAUUUUUAAAUAAAAUGAACGUAUUGAGAUUACGAAUUUAGACGGCUCUGUGUUACUAUGGAUUAUUGCCAAACAAACAAAAAUUGUGUUCUGCCAGUUGUCGAUUAAUUCGAUAAAAAGUAUUGAUUGAAAGUGCAGCGGUGUUUUUUGAUAAAGAAUAAUGAGCGAUUCGGAAACAGAGAAUUUGUUAGAAGAACCCUGGAAUAUUGAAAUGAUCGGCAAUAAUUCCGGAAAAAACAAAAGUACGAUAUGAAAAAUUCUUAAAUGAAGCACCUGAUGAAGAAUUUUGAUUAAUAAGCUCACUGUGAUAUUAAGAGUCUCAGGGACUUGUAGAAGAGAGGAAUUAUAUAACAUGACUAUUAUAAUAAUAGGAGUAAUAUACAACGGCCUCUGAGUUCUGUGACUAAUGCAACUGAUUCAGUUCUAAUUGUGCGCAAACGAGUCGUAUUACAAUUAACAACUGUAGCAAUUGUACUUUUCACUUUUAGUAUGAAUAAAUAAUUAGUAAAUUUUGAAUUUUUAUAUUACUUUUACUUACCGUUCAGUGAACAUUAAACAUUAAACAUUAAACAAAGGGGCCUCCAGACUGUUCAAAGUCGUCCACAUUACGAAGCACGUCUGUGUGAGAAUACUGGAAACUCAUUCAAACAAAAAUUGUUUAAGAAAUGUAAAGUGGUAGGUAUCAACUUGAAAGAGAAAUUUCUAAGAUACCAAAUUUUCAUUAAGUAUUUCAGGUAGAUUUAAACAAUACUUCCUUGAAAAUUCAUUCUAAAUUAUUAGAUUAGAUGGGAAAGAAUUUAAGACCGCUCUGCUUACACUGACCUUCGUUUCACAAAAUUUAAUGCAUCUAAAUCUGGGAAUCGUAGCGCAUCGAAGUUUAGUGGACUUUUUAUAGCCACUUAUUUACAGCAACGAUGUUAUACAAAAUUUAAAUAAUAAAAAGAAAUUCAGGUUGUAUUAUUUCUAUUUCUUAGGUAAUAUCGAGGUGUAAACCGUACCCCAAAUUUUGUACACCAGAUGGUUUCCUGAGAUUUAAUCAUGAUUCCUUCUGAUUUUCCCUAAAUUUUUAAAGUGAUUUCCUUAAAAUUUCUUGAUUUACUCAAUUUUGUACACUGAUUUCCUCUGCUGUUUACCUCUCGGGUAAUAUUGAAAACAUUUACUUUUCUUGUUGCGAAAGAUGUCUUGGUUUCAUAGCAGUUGUUGAUAGUGUUGAAGGAAAAAAUUAUAUUUAAUUUAAAAAAAAAAUAAAUCGAUCAAUUUAAAAUCCUGGAGUAAUUAAAUACGAUAACCUAAAAAAACACUAAGGGAACAGUUUAUUAAAAUUUGAAAUGUAGGUAACAAACUUUUUUGAGUUCAACAACUAUUAUUUAAAAACGUGUUGUUGGAUUUUUCGUUAAAUACAAAGUUCAAAUUCCUUUAAGAAAUGAAUUCACUGUUGAAGCGCCGGCACCUUCUUCGAAAUGUCCAUAAGAGGUGCUGUAUUCUGCGCAUUCUAAAAGCCUUUCUCAUUGCAAUGUUCAGUUGAAUUUAGGGACUAUAUGAUUUAUUUUUACAUGAGUGAAGCACAGGUUUGAAGGUUUUAUGGUAUCUGUACACAUAAACAGUAAUAACCAGGGUGAAAUUAUAGACAAUCACCGAAUUUAUUGUUCUGAUUCACCAAUUUUUCAGACGUGAGAAAAUCUUGACAUUUUUGACGUACGUUGUUGAAUUUUGAUGGUGGAGCCAUCUGUAGAGUGUAUAAUCGUUAUUGUUGCCCUGUCAAGGUCCGUGUCGUUACUUUAGUAUAUCUACUGGCUUUGGUGUUGCCAGUGAUUUACUAGGGAAUUAUCACUUCUUAACCCUUACUGUUCUGUGGUUGACAGUUGACACCUUGUAGCAGCGUGUGAGCGUCGUGAGCGUGUUGUGCAUCGAUUAACAGGGUUUUUGCGUGCGACCGUUGGCAGCGGUUUGAACUAACCCUUACUGUUCUGUGGUUGACACCUUGUAGCAGCAGAGUAGCAGCGUGUGAGCGUCGUGAGCGUGUUGUGCAUCGAUUAACAGAUUGUAGCCGAACCAAAGUAAAAAUGAACGAGAGUUCUUCCGAGAGUUCUUCUCUAAAUGAUUCUAAGGAUUCAGAAAAGUCGCUGUCCGAACUGGCAAGUCAUGAAUUCGCCACAAUCAAAGAGACAGUUACGUUUGUGGACAAGACCCUGUUUAUCAAAUGUGUUUUAAGUGAUACUUAUAAAAUAGUAUUACUAACGGCACCUAGAGCUUUUGGAAAAACUACCCUCAUGGAUAUGUUGAAGCAGUUUCUACUGGGACAAAAAAGUUUAUUUGAGAACCUUAAGAUUUGUACUGAAGAAAUACGAUUUUUUUCAAAGCACUGCAGAUCUCAUCCUGUGAUACAUAUUGAUACAUUCAGAUAUUGAUAUUGUACAUUCAGAGAACAUUCAUACCUGAUGAAGAAGACUGAUGAUGGUACUUUAGCCUGGGCAAGCGACAAGUUGAACAUGUCUAGCAUUGACGUUGAAGACUUCGAAAAUUUCUACGUUAAAAAAAAGUGUGUCACAUUAAGAGAAGCUCAUUUGGUAAAUAGCUUAACAUUUUUAUCGGAAGUUUUACAUACACAUUAUGAGGAAAAAGUUUUCAUACUCAUCGAUGAGUACGAUGCUCCUGCGGUAGUCCUGGUAUUCGAGUCUUGUCCGAAUAAAGAUGACAUUGGAUUAAUUAAUGAUUGUCUAAAACAUUUCAUGGCUAAUACGCUGAAAUUCAAUGAUUUCAUAAAACGCUCAUUAAUUUUUGCUUGUGUUCGGUUGGCCGGAGCCUUCUCAGGGGAUGCAGCAAGAGUU